GUGUAUGCCUGGGAAACAUAUAUACUAAAAUUGGAAUGAUACAGAGAAGAUUAGCAUGGCCCCUGUGCAAGGAUGACGUGCAAAUUCAUGAAGCAUUCCAUAUUUUU